GUGCAGCAGUUGAAUAAGAGCUUGAGGGCCUCGUAUUAAACUAGGCAGUGCAGUGAUCUGUAGUAUGAGGUAGAGAAGCACAGUGGAACUGAUGGGCACAGAUCUCUGAACUCUCAGCCUGUAGCAAAGAUGGUAAUAAAUCUGAGGGACUUUUACAUGAACACAUUAAUUUACAGAUCAUUGGGAGUGGUCUGGUAUUUUGCUGUGGUCUUCCUUGCCCUGGGGACUGAAGUCCCAUUUGAUGUCACUGUUUGGUUAUAUGUUUACAAUAGACUCCCUUCGAGGAUUGGUUUUCUUACCUUUGCGCAGAAAGUCCUUUUUAAAAAUUUCUUAUGUGACGAUCGGUCAGUUAUUUUUGACUUCCAAAUUGCCAGCGGUUUAGACCAACUGUUUGAUUCAGACGGACCCCAAAAUUGGGUACGUUAAAGGAAAAACAGCUGGGCUGUUGGAAGAAGCGAGAACUAGCAAAGUCUUUGACUGAACUUUAGGGUGAGAACUGCCUGGGACGAAGAAAGCACAAUGGAAGAUGGCUGAAAGCCGCAAAAGACUACUGAGCACCCUGGAUCUGGGUAUCUUUGGACGAGUUCUUUUGAAUUGAUGGAUGUGUGAAACUGCUAAUAUGUAAACCACAAUCUGAUGGAUUUAGUGUGUAAGAGAAACAUGAGGACAGGUUAAAACAGGAGGUAAUCUUCUUGAAGAUGUAAAACUGCAGCACAACAGCAGUAAUGGGACAACCUAUUGCAGAAAGAUGUCGGCUGUGUCAAGAACCUACCCUGGAAGAGAGAGCCCAGAGAAUUGCCAAAGCUGUCCGCAAACAGUCAAUAGAAGUGAAGGAAAAUUGGGAGCAAUUGAAAACCCGUGCGAGCAACUGGCAGAAACAGGUGGAAAAGGCGUUGGAGAAACUUCAAGAACUGCAGAAAGCUCUGGAUGAUCUUGAGGCUCAUGUGAUAACAGCUGAGGGGGUCCACACUGAUCAGCAACCUGUGGGUGACCUGCUUAUUGACUCAUUGCAGGGUCACAUUGAUAAAACCACAUGGAUCUGUUGGAGUUGCACACAGCACAACGCGUCUUGGAUCAACACAAAUUGACACAAAACGAGCAACGUCGAAAUGUGACUGAAGUAAUCAACUGUUUGACGACCAUUUAUGAUGGUUUGGAACAAAAUCACUUGGUCAAUGUGUCACUCUGUGUCGACAUGUGUCUGAACUGGCUGCUGAGCGUCUUUGAUACGUAUCUAUGAUUUACACUUUAAUGUAGUAUGUUUAGAUUGUCCUAAGGUGCAUGAAACUGCAUGCGACGUAUUGGAUUUUGAUAUGUACAUGAUCAGUUAAGUAAAUGUGAAGAUUGUUGACUGAUUAAAAUCAAUCCGAGUAUUGAUGACAUAAGGUUUCAGUAUGUUCUAAUUUCAUUUUAGUUCAA